rnacentral:rRNA from 1 species
GUUAAGAAUCUUGCACAAUGGGGGAAACCCUGAUGCAGCGACGCCGCGUGGAUGAUGAAGGCCUUCGGGUUGUAAAGUCCGGUAAGCAGGGAAGAAUAAGCGUGGGGUAAUAUUCCAUGUGAUGACGGUACCUGCCUAAAGCCCCGGCUAACUACGUGCCAGCAGCCGCGGUAAUACGUAUGGGGCGAGCGUUGUUCGGAAUUAUUGGGCGUAAAGGGCGUCUAGGCGGGGGAUUAAGUUAGGUGUGAAAGCUAUGGGCUCAACCCAUAAACUGCAUCUAAGACUGGUUCUCUUGAGUUCGGGAGAGGAGAGCGGAAUUCCAGGUGUAGCGGUGAAAUGCGUAGAUAUCUGGAAGAACACCAGUGGCGAAGGCGGCUCUCUGGCCUAGAACUGACGCUGAAGCGCGAAAGCGUGGGGAGCAAACGGGAUUAGAUACCCCUGUAGUCC